rnacentral:rRNA from 1 species
GACGAACGCUGGCGGCGUGCUUAACACAUGCAAGUCGAACGGAAAGGCCCUGCUUUUGUGGGGUGCUCGAGUGGCGAACGGGUGAGUAACACGUGAGUAACCUGCCCUUGACUUUGGGAUAACUUCAGGAAACUGGGGCUAAUACCGGAUAGGAGCUCCUGCUGCAUGGUGGGGGUUGGAAAGUUUCGGCGGUUGGGGAUGGACUCGCGGCUUAUCAGCUUGUUGGUGGGGUAGUGGCUUACCAAGGCUUUGACGGGUAGCCGGCCUGAGAGGGUGACCGGCCACAUUGGGACUGAGAUACGGCGCAGACUCGUACGGGGGGCAGCAGUGGGGAAUAUUGCACAAUGGGCGGAAGCCUGAUGCAGCAACGCCGCGUGCGGGAUGACGGCCUUCGGGUUGUAAACCGCUUUCGCCUGUGACGAAGCGUGAGUGACGGUAAUGGGUAAAGAAGCACCGGCUAACUACGUG